GAUGAACGCUGGCGGCGUGGAUUAGGCAUGCAAGUCGAGCGAGAACCGUAGCAAUACGGGGACAGCGGCGAAAGGGACAGUAAUGUGUAGGUACCUACCUCCGGGUUCGGGAUAGCUGCGGGAAACUGCAGGUAAUACCGAAUAACGUCUCCGGACCAAAGGUGUGAUUCCACCUGGAGAGGGGCCUGCAUCCUAUUAGCUUGUUGGCGGGGUAACGGCCCACCAAGGCGACGAUGGGUAGCGGGUGUGAGAGCACGACCCGCGUCAUUGGGACUGAGACACUGCCCAGGCACCUACGGGUGGCUGCAGUCGUGAAUCUUCGGCAAUGGGCGCAAGCCUGACCGAGCGACGCCGCGUGCGGGAUGAAGGCCUUCGGGUUGUAAACCGCUGUCGUAGAGGAGGAAAUGCAGGGGGGUUCUCCCCUCUGUUUGACCUAUUCUAGGAGGAAGUACGGGCUAAGUUCGUGCCAGCAGCCGCCGUAA
rnacentral:rRNA from 1 species